rnacentral:rRNA from 1 species
GGACCCGCACAAGUAGCGGAGCAUGUGGUUUAAUUCGAAGCAACGCGAAGAACCUUACCUAAGCUUGACAUCCUUUUGACCGAUGCCUAAUCGCAUCUUUCCCUUCGGGGACAGAAGUGACAGGUGGUGCAUGGUUGUCGUCAGCUCGUGUCGUGAGAUGUUGGUUAAGUCCCGCAACGAGCGCAACCCUUGCCUUUAGUUGCCAGCAUUAAGUUGGGCACUCUAGAGAGACCGCCGGUGAUAAACCGGAGGAAGGUGUGGAUGACGUCAAGUCAUCAUGCCCCUUACAUCCUGGGCUACACACGUACUACAAUGCUACGGACAAAGGGCAGCAAGUUCGCGAGGAC